GGAACCGUAGCUCAGAAGGAUCAGAGCAUGAGUCUUCUAAACUCAUUGUCGCAGGUUCAAGUCCUGCCGGUUUCG
rnacentral:tRNA from 2 species